CUCUCUCUCUCUCUCUCUCUCUCUCUCUCUCUCUCUCUCUCUCUCAUCUCUCUCUCUUAAUCAUUGGGGGGUUACCACAGUAACACCUAUAUCCCCUCUGACAGACAGACAAACUCUCCCAAGAUGUCUGAAAUUGCCCGUGCAUUACACAUGAAUGAAUAUGAACUCACAGUCACCUGACAGACGCAUGCAAACACACACACUCAUGUAUGCAAACACACAAACACACACACAUGCAAACCAACAAACACACACACACACACACACACACACGCAACCCCCCUGGCCCCCACACACAUAAACUUGCAAAAAAAAACUACACACACACACACACUCUUACAUACAUACCAUGACCCCCGAACACAUGUGCUUAUUUCUGUACAUCUAGGAUGCUUACAGACACGCACACACACACGCACGCACGCACACACACACACACACACACACACACACACACACACACACACACACACACACACACACACACACACACACACACACACACACUUAACAUGGAAGAGAUGGCUCUGAUUUAUGUGUGGUCAGAGGUCAAAGAGAACUCUCAUCUCGUCCCUCGUUCUCAUGUCACAUCGGGGGUCUGACGUCUCCAUAAACGCUCCAAACGAUGCACUCUAACUCGGCAGAGAUUAAGACCUGUACUUUAAUGGGGCUGGUCUGUACGAAACCACAAAGAUGUCACUUUGACAUGUUAGAAAGGGAGCAACACACACAAAACGAUCACAGCUUCCAUUUGUACAAUUUUCGUUUUUGUGUAUUUGUACAGAACGUAUUCAGUUUCUUGUCUAGCGUUCACAGUAGCCUGAUUAAAACUGACAAAAAUUAGAUUUAUACUUUUUGGGAAAGGGGAUGAAAUUGUGAAAUACUUGAUCAAACGGUGUCCCAGUUGUUUGAGAUGGUUCACCAUUUUGGACCUCAGCGAAAUAUUGAUCAACAACAACUUUGUUCUUUCGGCUUAAGAAGAGAUCAGACUUUCUGACAUAUGAAUCUAGCAUAUUAGCAUGACCUUUAGCAUCACAUAACCAAUUAUGGGAAAAAUGAUGGGAAAACCCCCGCAGAAGGAAAUAUGUCUCUGACUAAUAAAGGCAUGGGAAAGUUCUAGUCCUGCCCCUCCUGUACGUUACAGAGCUUGGGAACCUGGGCAUCAAGUGGUUCCACAACCCGUCACUUCACCAUGUCGCCAAAGACCCAUGGGCCAGAACUCUCCUUCACGAGUGCGGAUGGCUCUUAGCUAACAGCGGUAAACGCUAACCCGGUGAGCCAUAUCUAUAAGAGAUUUUUGUUUCUCAAAGGGUCAAAGAUAAUUAAAUAAUGGUUCAAGCUACAUUUUUUGCGAAAAAUUCAAAUUCUAUAAAAACAAAUAAUCGCCAUCUGUCAUCGACUUGACUUCGGCAACUUUUACGCUAAAUACAAGAUCAACCAUAUUAUAUGACUAAGGCAAUUAUGCUAUGAGGCCAACAAAGUACACAAAACACAACACACACUCGCUCAAAGCCCAUAUCGACCUCAAACCGUCCGUCAUUCGAGUUGAGUUCCCAUCGUUCCCAAGACCCAACAAAGUGUUCCAUUCUCGUAGCUAUUCGCUAUUGCCCUAACAGGGUAUAACUAUAAAAAACCCUUCCAUGUACUCAUGUUCACUCCGAUGUGGUCGUCACAUGACUGUCCUGACACCCCGGCCUUCGGCGUCUCCAUCUGGAGCCUGGGUGCGGUUCGAGCCCCAAAGACAACUCCUAGAGUCAAGAGGCAACAUUUGAAUUCCGGUUUAAUUACAGUUUAAAAAUAUAACUUAUUUCCAAUUUUCACAGUAGCGCCUGUUAUGUGUGGGACGUCCCAUCUCGCCUGUCCGCUAAUUACCCUCCGUGUCCCCUCUGCGGGCUGUUUCCUCUCUCUGAGCGCCUCUCUGUGAUUGGCCUAAAAGAAGGUAUUGUAACAUAAACCCCGUGUCGCCGUCCUAGCUCCUGGUUUCCCGAAGGCCGUGAAGCAGCCGGGCAGGAAGCAAAACAAAAUUGUCAAAUAUGUUUUCUUGUUCUUCCCCCAAACAGAAAUGCGGUUGUUCGACGGCGUGGAUGCACCCCGUGGGGAAUUGGUGGUGGGGUCAGCCCGGCGCUCUCUCUCACCCCCGCCUCGCGCCACAAGCUGGUCGCUCCAAUGCCGCAACGCUGAGGCACAGCAUCCACGGGUCCUGAGGCGACCGUGGUGUUGGCUGGUUUCACUGUUGGUGAGUCCCUUCCAGUCCCCACCUUAAGGUCUUAAGGCACCUUAAGGACCUUAAGGUGUCCGCACCUUAAGGACCUUAUGGUGUCCGCACCUUAAGAUCUUAAGGUGCGGAAACCCACCAGUGCUCGGGCGACCGCAGUGCUCGCUGGUUUCAUUUUCCUCCAGUCUGCCCCUUAAAACCUCAAGGGAGCCGGAGGUGCACUCUGACGGACACGCUGCUGAGCCAGCAAUCUGUCAGCAGUUACAAGGGCGGGUUGUGAGGGUUACCAGUCGGUCUACUGGUUCUAAGGGUUACCAGUCGGCCUACAGGUUAGUUCUCAGGGUUACUAGUCGGUCUACAAGUUGGUUGCUUUGGGUUACCAGUCGGUCUACAGGUUGGUUCUCAGGGUUACCAGUUGGUCUACAGGUUUGUUUCUUUGGGUUACCAGUUGGAAAGUUUAGAUUCUUUGGGUUACCAGUCGGACUACAAGUUGGUUUCUUAGCAUUACAAGGUGGUCUUGAGUUUGGUCUCUCAACCUUACAAGUUGGACUACAGGUUUAUUUUUAAGGUAACCAGGUGGUCUACAUGUUGUUUCUCUCAGAGUUCAAAAGUUAAUCUACAAGUUGGUUAAUGAAGUUCACAAGUUGAUGCAGAUGCUGGCUACUCAAUGUUUCAGGUUGGCCUAAUGAUUAGUGUCUCAGGGUUAGUCUUUCCUCCAGGCUGGUUUCUGAAGGCUACAAGUCGACGUCAGAUUGGGCUGGUCCUGAAACGGUCAGAGCUUCGGGACAGUUUGAAUCUGGGUCUAGAUCCUAGAGAGCCGCUGGUCCAUGAGGAGGCCUGCAGUGCUGGGCUCCAUCCCACACCCCUCCAUCAGAACCCUCCUCUGAAACUCUGAAACAUCUAGAGAGAGAGAGAGAGAGAGAGAGAGAGAGAGAGAGAGAGAGAGAGAGAGAGAGAGAGAGAGAGAGAGAGAGAGAGAGCGAGAGAGAGAGAGAGA
ensembl:lncRNA